AAAAAAAAAAAAAAAAUCUUACGCCAAAUAUUGUCAACCGUGGAUUCUCUGGAAAGCAUCAAACUGGCAUUCAACUUAACCAAGUGACCAAGAAGGGGAUUCAAAUGCAACAUAUAAGCACUUAAGAUUACAAAUAUCAAACAUAAAAUACAAUGUUAAAUAUAGAAGGAGAACAAGAAAAUAAAUAAAAAGACCAAGUGUGCGCAGGUGCGCAAUUGUUCAUGCAUGAUAAAAGGCAUUCAAAUUCGAAACCAACAUAGCAAACACCUAGCAUAACUACCACCCAGUCUCAAAACAGCCAAUAAGGCGUUAAAAAAUUCGAACAAUGGCGAAUUCAAAAAUUCGAAGACAAACAAGCUCAAAAAGAAAAAGCAAACGUUUGAAGAGGCACCAUAAUAAUUAUUCGCAGAUUAAAAAAAAAAAAAGUAAUUUGCGAUAAGAGAAGAGUACCAGA
rnacentral:misc_RNA from 1 species